AACGCACAUUGCGCCCCUUGGUAUUCCAUGGGGCAUGCCUGUUCGAGCGUCAUUUGUACCCUCAAGCUCUGCUUGGUGUUGGGCGUCUUGUCUUUUUCUUUAGUGAUUAGACUCGCCUUAAAGUAAUUGGCAGCCAGUGUUUUUGGUAGUAAGCGCAGCACAUUUUGCGUCUUAGUCUCUAAACAGUGGCAUCCACAAAGCCUCUUUCUCACUUUUGACCUCGGAUCAGGUAGGGAUACCCGCUGAACUUAA
rnacentral:misc_RNA from 1 species